GGCUGUUGGACACAUUGACAGCAGCUUAUGAGGACACCGUGUCUCAGUUGAGAGAACAAUGGCGACACACAUCAGAUGUCCAGCAGCAGGUAGGGAUUAAAGCAGAUGUCCCCCCCGAGGACCAGGACCAGGAGGACCCAGAGCCCCUCCACAUAAAAGAGGAGCCGGAGCCCCUCCACGUAAAGGAGGAGCCGGAGCCCCUCCACAUAAAGGAGGAGCCGGAGCCCCUCCACAUAGAAGAGGAGCCGGGGCCUUGCCACAUAAAAGAGGAGCCGGAGCCCCUCCACAUAAAAGACCUGCAGGAUCUCUGGACGCGUCUAGAGGGAGAUCAGCUCAUUGUGCUGGAGGAGGCCGAUAUUGCCAAAUUCUCAUUCACUGCUGUUACUUUGGAGAGUGAAGAUGACGAACCUCAGACCUCACAGCUUCAUCAAAGCCAGUCGGAGGAAGACAGAGAGGCAGAGCCUCCAGCCAGCAGCUCAGCUGCAUCGAUACAAACAGAAACUGAUGAAGAUGACUGUGGGGGAUCAGGACCAGACAGGAACCUAAAUCCACAUCGUCAUUCACAUCCAAAUGCUGAUGAUGAAGAGGCUUCAGACUCUUCUGAGACUGAAGCUAGUUGUGGUGAUUGGCAAGAAGCUUUGUCAGAUUCUGGAUCUGAAAGUGGAGAUGGGGACAAUGUCUGGAAGAAGCCCAGGGCACCUGAGUCUGCUGCAGAUGCCCUGAAAUAUAAGGAAGCUCUUUUAAGUCAUGUGGGAUGUAACCCUGGCAACAAAUCCAAUGAAUCACAAUCAAAAGUGCUCAUAAGAAAGAAACCAUUCAGUUGUGAUGUGUGCGGGAAAAGAUUUACACAUCAGGGACAUCUGAAGAGCCACAUGAGAGUCCACACAGGAGAGAAACCAAUCGGUUGUGACGAGUGUGGGAAAAGAUUUGCAUUACAGGGAGGUCUGAAGAGACACAUGAGAGUCCACACCGGAGAGAAACCAAUCGGUUGUGACGAGUGUGGGAAAAGAUUUACAGAAGAGGGAAGUCUAAAGAAACACAUGAGUGUACACACAGGAGAGAAACCAUUCAGUUGUGAUGUGUGUGGGAAAAGAUGCAUGCAACAGGGAGAUCUGAAGAGACACAUGAGAGUCCACACAGGAGAGAAACCAUUCAGUUGUGAUGUGUGUGGGAAAAGAUUUAAAGAACAGGGAAGUCUGAAGAAACACAUGAGAGUCCACACAGGAUAGAAUGUGUUUCUUCCAGUAGUGACAAAUUCCACAUGGAAGUUGUUCUCUUUCUAAUGUGUGAAUUAAAAAAAUAAGUAAAAUGUU